rnacentral:rRNA from 1 species
AAGGUCCUGCCUGCCCAGUGAAAUAUUUUUAACGGCCGCGGUAUUCUAACCGUGCAAAGGUAGCGUAAUCACUUGUCUUCUAAAUAAAGACCAGUAUGAACGGCUAAAUGAGGAUAAACCUGUCUCCUACAGCCUAUCAGUGAAACUGAUCUUUCAGUCCAAAAGCUGAAAUAUUAACAUAAGACGAGAAGACCCUGUGGAGCUUAAAACUAAUAUGCUAACAAGGAGGACCCCCCCCCUAGCAUAAAUUUUAAGUUGGGGCGACUUCGGAACAAAACAAAACUUCCAAGCACAGAACCACCACUUCUAACCAAGGCAAACAGGCCUAAGCAAACACUGACCCAGUUCACACUGACCAACGAACCAAGUUACCCCAGGGAUAACAGCGCUAUCUUCUUCAAGAGUCCAUAUCGACAAGAAGGUUUACGACCUCGAUGUUGGAUCAGGGCACCCAAAUGGUGCAGCCGCUAU